CAGUGUUGAAGGAGUUUUGGGCGGUAAGGAAGAUUGGACGGCGCGUCGAGCUGUUGUUCCUCAACGACAACUACGAAUCAGAGAUGGCAGCAAUGAAUUGGCCGUAGUUGAAUACAUGGAUGAGAUGUAUGAGUUUUAUAAGCUUGGUUGAUUGAAGUUCAUCGCAAGUUUGAACUUAUGAAGACUGUACCAUGGAAGGAACUUCACCUCUAUGAUCAUAGCAUGAAAGUAUGGAGAGAUUUUGGCCUCAGAGGUAAAUUAUUUGUUUUUUUUCCUUUCUUUCCUUCACAUGUGUACUGUCCUUGAAAAACUCUUUUGAAAGCAAAACAUUGAGACGUUUUCGCACACUGUGACAUAUGUGCCACAUAGUAGCUAGUUUAGGUUAUAGGGCUCAAGAGUGGUGGAGAACUAACAUCAUACCUCACACUAUACUACAUUUUGAGAUAUGUUUUUAGACA